GCGUUUGAAAAAACUCCAACAUUAAUUUAAAAUCCCAAUUCCCAAAAAAAUGUCUAUUUUCCAAUUUAUUUUGUGAGUUUGUAUAUCAUUAGAGUAUUUUAAAGCCGUCCCUGUAUACAGUAUUUAGGUAUUGCACAAUGGUAUGCAAUAGUAAGAAGUGCUGACGUUUUGAUGCGUAAAAGAACCUUCUAGAAUAAAGUUCCGAGUUUUGUCAAGUCAGCGCCCCUAAGGUUCAAAAUCGCUUGGUACCUAUGUGGUACUUUUCCCCGAUCUGUGGCUUCAGACCGAAGCGCAGAUCAGUCCGGUUUGAUUUCUUCAAGCGUGAAGAUCGCUUGCCGACUCACCCCAAAAGGGCGUGGUGCCUUUUGUUACCCGCCGGUAAAGGGUAUAGUAUGUCGUUCUGGAAGAUCUAGUGUGAGGGCACGAUGUUUUUUUUACCCCGUAGUGAAGUUGGGUGCUCUUACACUGUGUUUGAGUUGUGACGCAGUACUAUACGCCGGCGUGGUAUGAAGUCCCUGUAUCUUGUCCAAGUUCCUGUUUAAAUGAAGUCUUCCGAGUCCCGAUUGAUGUCCUGAUGUAGACAUUUUGAGUUCCAGUCCCGUGAUGUUUAUCCAGUUGAUUGCCCCGAAAUAAAAAGGAAGCCAUGAAGCCCACCUCAGGUCGAUGACCCUGCUUGUUUGUAGAUGAACCCCCUUUCCGUGUAGUUUGUGACGUGUGAUAAAGGAUUUUGUUUAAAUAUGGUAUGAUAUAUUUUUUUAAAUUUUGCAAGGAUCCCAAAUGGAUAAAUAUUUUUGUUGGUAAAGAGUUUUGAAAAAUAAUAGUUGUUUGUGCUUUCAUGAUGCAACUUGUAAAUUAAAAUGACAGUGACUUUGACCUUUGACAGCUGCGUCAAAAUUUUGUUUUGACAUACACUGUCCAACAAGUUCUUUUGUCAUUCUUUUGUUAUGUUAAAUUGAAGAUUUUUUUUUGUAAUGUAAAAGAUUUGUAGAUAUUUUGUCCUGUAAAAUCAUUUCCUGUUAAAAGUUUUUUUGUUUGUUUAAAAAAAAACCACCGUAAAGUUUUAAAUAAAUGUUUGUGAAAGUGUAUCUAUCAUCUCAUUUCUGUAGCCUUUGGAAAAAUUUUAACAGAAAACUAAUGCAACUGUAUGAAAGUUUUAGUUCAGGAGAAAAGAAAGAAUAUGGCAUAGAAGCCAAUAAUAAGGAAAGAUGUUGUCCCAAUGUAACCCCAAAGAGGAAUCAAUGAUGAUUGUCCCCCCGAUUGGUACCCGUAAGUAAGAAAGUAUCCAGUAAGUACCCAUAGGUGAAAUAGAGGAUUUAUUUCAAACGGCGUCCCUUUUUGUUAAAUAGUAGAAAGAUCCUCUAGUCAGAGUAAGUACCCUUAUGUAUUUAGUUAUGGUAGUGUAGUCAUCUUAACACCCCUUCACCCUCCCUAACGAAUCUACGACCUAGCUCCCGCACAACAAAUGAGCUGCCGUCCCGCAACGAGGCUUUAUGUGUCUGCUUCUUCUUCUUUAGCCCCAUUCUUACCCCCCAGUAUCUCUAUAGAUAGUCUUUCCUUGUUCCCAUAUGAGCAGACAUGUAAAACGCAUCAAAUUGCGCCCAACGUGUGGGGCUCUAAACGCUUCAAAUGUCGCCCAACGUGUGAGGCCGAUUCAUUUUUCUGCCUCCUUCAGUAUCCAGUAGUUGUCUUGUCCAGUUGAACGCUUCAAAUGGCCCCGGCAACGUGGGGCCUGUACUUUUUUUUGGCCUCCCUCAGACCCCAUUUGCAUGUUCCCACUACCAUGUCCUUUUAGCCUCCUUUCGGUCUCAUUUGUACUACAACUGUUAGGCAGUGCCCGUCUUGGGUAGCCGAUCUCAGUUUGUGGUGCAGGUGUUUCCGAUAACAUGGAAGCUCGACUCGUGUCAUGUUUUGUAUGCCCAUUGUUACAAGUCUAGCUUGUAGACAUGUUCAACUAGUAGUUAGCCUAUCUACUAGUCCCCAAUGUCUUUAGCCACCCCCCCACUUAGUGUUACGCUUGUAAUACUUGUAACGUACACCCUGAAGUUUGACCUGAGUAGAUAUCGCCCCAGUCUUCCCAUGUAGUUUAGCCCAGAUUCCUCUUGUCUUGCCCCCCCGAAACUGUUUCAUGUCUUUUAGUGCCCCCGAAACUGUUUCAGUCUGUUAGUCCCCAUGAAAGAGCCCAUUUUUGUAGUUUUUGUUGCAAAAGUUAAUAAUUUUUCCAAAGAGGUGUAAGUAAGUACACAUUUUGUUGUGAUGUUGAUUUGGUCGUGCUGUUGAUUGUAUGGGCAUGUACCAUUUCAUACGUCAUAGUGUAUUUAACUUGUAACCCCAUAUGUAUACUGGUAUUGUAUGUAUCGUAGAACAGAAUUGUAUGUUAUUUUAGCGUACUAACUGUAUUGUAUUGAUAUUGUACCCAUGAUGAAAGCAUUGAUUUGAAUUUUUUUGAAAAUAUUGAUGAAAUAUAUAGACAAACAGUUGAAUAAAAAAGUAACGUAAAUUUUUUUUGAAAAUUUUGAUUAAAAGUAACGUUAAAUAUUUUGAAUAUUGAAUCCAAUUAUGAAGUAUAACAGUAUGUUGUAUUUUUUGCAUGUAUUCCUAUAGAUCAACAGUUUUUUUACAGAAUAAUCGUUUUUUGUGAUUUAUUGAUUUGGUCAUUUGAUUAGAUGUGUGAUGUUGUUGGUAUGGUCCGUGUAUGAGCUUAGCCCCGUAUAGUCUGUGUGAGAGUAGUCCCUUGUUUUUCCAGCGAAGCCUAUCUCUGUUGGUGUAUGUCAUGCCACAGGUUAGUUGGAGAAGUCAUCCCAUUGAGAAGUCAUCCCCUUGAGAAGUGGCCCCGUGAAGAAGUGAAGAGGGAAACCGUGGAGAGGCCCCCCACUUCUGUGUUUUUUUCAAGCAGCCAGGAGAAAAGCUGUCACUUUUAGAUUUGAAGAUAGCGUUCUCUGUCGACACUGUUUGAGAAUAACUGUCUUGAAGUGUAGAAGUUAGCCCCUGAAAAAGCCCCCCCCUUGUCUGUGUUGCCCCUUGUUUUUUUUUUGACUAAUCUAUCUUUGUAGGUGUCAAAAGGAUGCCAGAGGUUAGUUAAAAAGAGCCCGUGAAGUAGUAGUUGAAGUCUUCCCCCCAGUGAAGUAGUUGAAGUCCCCCCGUGAAUGAAGUAUGUCUUUUUGUAUCUGACAUGUCACAAGUGUAAUACUCGUGAUGAAGGAAGUGUUGUUCAGCUAUCUGUGAACACUUUCAUUAGUAGUCGGAGCAAGAAAUGUCUUAUCCCGUGUGAGCUCAUAUAGGAACCAAAUUUCAAUAUUGUUUGUGUUUGUAAGCCCCUGAGUAUAUCUAGAAGUCAAAAAGUAUGUUGUUGUCUGUUUGUUUGUCUAUCCCUGUUUUGUCUGGAAGUUUUAGAGCCCAUUGUCUGUUGUCCCGUGUUGUCUAUUAGCCCGUGUUGUCUAUUAGCCUGUGUUGUCUAUUAGCCCGUGUUGUCUAUUAGCCCGUGUUGUCUAUUAGCCCGUGUUGUCUAUUAGCCCGUGUUGUCUGUUAGCCCGUGUCCGUGCUGGAGUUUGAUUUUUUUUGGCGAAUAGUUAGUUGACCUCUCUUCUCUUUGUUGAUUGAAAGUAGGCCAAGAGCAGAAGCUGUGACAAGGCUGGUGAGGUUAGGAUCUGGCCGCGUUGAGUACAGGUGAAGCUUGCUUUCGGUCGAUAAAUGGAAGCGGUUGUUCGUCAGAACUGUCAUACUUUCCAAUGUCCCUUUGGUCUUCCCCUUGCGUGUUGCUUUCAUCCCCUGUUUUGAAAAAGUAGCCCCCCGUUUUGAAAAAUAAAGUCCACCCCCAGUCUUGAGAAAUGAAAUGCCCCCAGUUUUGAAAAGUAAGUCUAUCCCCAGUUUUGAAAAGUAAAGCCCAACCCCCCUGUCUUGAAAAAUGAAGUCUAUCCCCUGUUUCGAAAAGUGAAGUGUAGCCCUGUUUUGAAAAUGAAGUCUUUCCCCAGCUUGUGAUUUGAAAAUGAGAGAGUUGUCUAGUGAACGUUCAUGAAAGGUUCUUAUGUCCUGGAUUGGACUGUUGAUUGAAAACGUAAUGAUGUAGUGUUCUCUAUAUCAUAUGUUGCGUUCAUUUCCCUUAGUCUUGUUUAAAAAGUUUGAUAUCCUGUUUGAACCCAGUAUACUAGUCUUUUUGGUCUUUUGUUGUUGUCACACAUACCCCCUCCCCCUUGUUAGUCUUGUUUUGAUUUUAGCCCUUGUUGUUGUCAUAUACCCCUUUGUCUAGCCCUGUCUUGUUUGAAUGAGUUGUUGAAGUAAGUUGUUGGUGAGAUUUUGUCUCACUGAGGUGUUUAGACUGGAUUGUCUAAAUCCUCGUUUUGCAGAACCGUUGCCGAAAUGUCCCGUGAAACUCGCUAGGUGUUAGCAGAGUUUGGGCAGAUGUUUAUCUGUCAAACAUCAACUUUUUAGUUUUUGUGAACCGCUCGCGGUUAGGCAACGAGGUGACAAGGCUGUGUCUGCCCUGGUAUGUCACUUGUGUUACUGCUGUGGAUGUCAGCGAGGUCCACACAGGGCACAAGUUUAGUUUCUUUCCCAAGGCACAGAAACUCUUGUCACCUACAGUUCUUUGUAGAGUCAAGAAACAUUUAAGUCUACUCGACUUUAAAGAGUCUGGCGAUUGAUGGCACGCUAGCCCAAUCCCUAACGACUUUUUUGUUUUGUUUAAUCCCCACUAGCCAUUAUCUAAAUAUUUUGAUAUUGUUGUCCUGUCACACCUAAGAUGUCCAUGUUGGAUUUUUUUCUGUUUGUUAUCGAAAACUGGAUAAUCUUAUCCAGGUUUCUCUUUUGCGCGGAGGCUUUGUAGCGUUUGAAAAAACUCCAACAUUAAUUUAAAAUCCCAAUUCCCAAAAAAAUGUCUAUUUUCCAAUUUAUUUUGUGAGUUUGUAUAUCAUUAGAGUAUUUUAAAGCCGUCCCUGUAUACAGUAUUUAGGUAUUGCACAAUGGUAUGCAAUAGUAAGAAGUGCUGACGUUUUGAUGCGUAAAAGAACCUUCUAGAAUAAAGUUCCGAGUUUUGUCAAGUCAGCGCCCCUAAGGAUCAAAAUCGCUCGGUACUUCCGUCGUAUUUUCCCCGAUCUGUGGCUUCAGACCGAAGCGCAGAUCAGUCCGGUUUGAUUUCUUCAAGCGUGAAGAUCGCUUGCCGACUCACCCCAAAAGGGCGUGGUGCCUUUUGUUACCCGCCGGUAAAGGGUAUAGUAUGUCGUUCUGGAAGAUCUAGUGUGAGGGCACGAUGUUUUUUUUUUACCCCGUAGUGAAGUUGGGUGCUCUUACACUGUGUUUGAGUUGUGACGCAGUACUAUACGCCGGCGUGGUAUGAAGUCCCUGUAUCUUGUCCAAGUUCCUGUUUAAAUGAAGUCUUCCGAGUCCCGAUUGAUGUCCUGAUGUAGACAUUUUGAGUUCCAGUCCCGUGAUGUUUAUCCAGUUGAUUGCCCCGAAAUAAAAAGGAAGCCAUGAAGCCCACCUCAGGUCGAUGACCCUGUUUGUUUGUAGAUGAACCCCCUUUCCGUGUAGUUUGUGACGUGUGAUAAAGGAUUUUGUUUAAAUAUGGUAUGAUAUAUUUUUUUAAAUUUUGCAAGGAUCCCAAAUGGAUAAAUAUUUUUGUUGGUAAAGAGUUUUGAAAAAUAAUAGUUGUUUGUGCUUUCAUGAUGCAACUUGUAAAUUAAAAUGACAGUGACUUUGACCUUUGACAGCUGCGUCAAAAUUUUGUUUUGACAUACACUGUCCAACAAGUUCUUUUGUCAUUCUUUUGUUAUGUUAAAUUGAAGAUUUUUUUUGUAAUGUAAAAGAUUUGUAGAUAUUUUGUCCUGUAAAAUCAUUUCCUGUUAAAAGUUUUUUUGUUUGUUUAAAAAAAAAACCACCGUAAAGUUUUAAAUAAAUGUUUGUGAAAGUGUA